GAUGAACGCUGGCGGCGUGCCUAAUACAUGCAAGUCGAGCGAACAGAUGAGGAGCUUGCUCCUCUGACGUUAGCGGUGGACGGGUGAGUAACACGUGGAUAACCUACCUAUAAGACUGGGAUAACUUCGGGAAACCGGAGCUAAUACCGGAUAAUAUAUUGAACCGCAUGGUUCAAUAGUGAAAGACGGUUUUGCUGUCACUUAUAGAUGGAUCCGCGCCGCAUUAGCUAGUUGGUAAGGUAACGGCUUACCAAGGCGACGAUGCGUAGCCGACCUGAGAGGGUGAUCGGCCACACUGGAACUGAGACACGGUCCAGACUCCUACGGGAGGCAGCAGUAGGGAAUCUUCCGCAAUGGGCGAAAGCCUGACGGAGCAACGCCGCGUGAGUGAUGAAGGUCCUCGGAUCGUAAAACUCUGUUAUUAGGGAAGAACAAAUGUGUAAGUAACUAUGCACGUCUUGACGGUACCUAAUCAGAAAGCCACGGCUAACUACGUG
rnacentral:rRNA from 1 species